UUUUUUUUUUAAAAACCAAAAAUAAUUGACAUUUGCAAAAAUAUUAAUAUUUAUAAGUUAUAUUCUUAUAAAUUGGUUCUUAUAAAUGAAAAUUCACAUUAAAUAUCUGCAUUAAUGCAUCAAAUUUUGCUAACCUGAUGGAAAAUCUGGACCUUUGUUUCUCUGUUUUUUACAAUCCAAGAUGGACACCCAUACCACCUUAAAUAAAAAAAAUGAUCCUGGAGAAAUAGACCUUUCUUUUUUUACAGCUGUUUUUUUA
rnacentral:lncRNA from 1 species